rnacentral:rRNA from 1 species
UCGCUAAUCGACCGCGACCCC